rnacentral:rRNA from 1 species
AACGAACGCUGGCGGCAUGCCUAACACAUGCAAGUCGAACGAGACCUUCGGGUCUAGUGGCGCACGGGUGCGUAACGCGUGGGAAUCUGCCCUUGGGUUCGGAAUAACAGCGAGAAAUUGCUGCUAAUACCGGAUGAUGACGUAAGUCCAAAGAUUUAUCGCCCAAGGAUGAGCCCGCGUAGGAUUAGCUAGUUGGUGAGGUAAAGGCUCACCAAGGCGACGAUCCUUAGCUGGUCUGAGAGGAUGAUCAGCCACACUGGGACUGAGACACGGCCCAGACUCCUACGGGAGGCAGCAGUGGGGAAUAUUGGACAAUGGGCGAAAGCCUGAUCCAGCAAUGCCGCGUGAGUGAUGAAGGCCUUAGGGUUGUAAAGCUCUUUUACCCGGGGAUGAUAAUGACAGUACCGGGAGAAUAAGCUCCGGCUAACUCCGUGCCAGCAGCCGCGGU